UACAGAGGUCUCAAGCGUUGUCCGGAAUUAUUGGGCGUAAAGAGCUCGUAGGCGGUCUGUUGCGUCCGCUGUGAAAACUCGGGGCUUAACCCCGAGCCUGCAGUGGAUACGGGCAGACUAGAGGUAGGUAGGGGAGAAUGGAAUUCCCGGUGUAGCGGUGAAAUGCGCAGAUAUCAGGAGGAACACCAAUGGCGAAGGCAGCUCGCUGGGACGGUACUGACGCUGAGACGCGAAAGCGUGGGGAGCAAACAGG
rnacentral:rRNA from 1 species